AGCUGGUUCUCCCCGAAAUAGCUUUAGGGCUAGCGUCGGAAAGAACCUUAGUGAAGGUAGAGCACUGAAUGUGUGAUGGCCCCAUCCCGGGGUACUGAAUACAAUCAAACUGCGAAUGUCAUUAAGGAUGUCCGGCAGUCAGACUGUGAGUGAUAAGGUCCAUGGUCAAGAGGGAAACAGCCCAGACCGCCAGUUAAGGUCCCAAAAUACAGGCUAAGUGGAAAAGGAUGUGGGGAUGCCCAGACAACUAGGAGGUUGGCUCAGAAGCAGCCAUCCUUUAAAGAGUGCGUAACAGCUCACUAGUCGAGUGACCCUGCGCCGAAAAUGUACCGGGGCUAAGCCUGAUACCGAAACUGCGGAUUGUAGGAAACUAUAGUGGUAGGGGAGCGUUGUAUACGAGCAGAAGCCGUACCGUGAGGAGCGGUGGAUUGUAUAGAAGUGAGAAUGCCGGUGUGAGUAGCGAGAUGUAGGUGAGAAUCCUACACACCGAAAGCCCAAGGAUUCCAGGGGAAGGUUCGUCCGCCCUGGGUAAGUCGGGACCUAACGCGAGGCCGAAAGGCGUAGUGGAUGGAAAGCAGGCGAAAGAUUCCUGCACCCGUAUAUGGAGCGAAGGAGUGACGGAGACGGAUAGUGUGACCCUCUUAAUGGAUUGAGGGCGAAGCGAAGCGGCUGGUUACCAGGCAAAUCCGGUAACCAUAAGGCUAGAGCGUGACAGGUAAGCGAAAUCUUAGGAAAGUAGCGAAGCACAUGAUGACGGCUUCCAGGAAAAGCUUCUGGCAAUGCAUAUGCGGCCCGUACCAAAACCGACACAGGUGGGCAGGGAGAGAAUCCCGAGGUGAGCGAGAGAACUGUUGCCAAGGAACUCGGCAAAAUGACUCCGUAAGUUAGCGAGAAGGAGUGCUUAAGCAAUUAAGCCGCAGUGAAGAGGCCCAAGCGACUGUUUAACUAAAACACAGCUCUCUGCGAAGUCGCAAGACGAAGUAUAGGGGGUGACACCUGCCCGGUGCUGGAAGGUUAAGAGGAUCUGUUAAGAGCGAUCUGAAGCAGUGAUCCGAAGCCCCAGUGAACGGCGGCCGUAACUAUAACGGUCCUAAGGUAGCGAAAUUCCUUGUCAGGUAAGUUCUGACCCGCACGAAAGGUGUAACGAUUUGGGCGCUGUCUCGGCAGCAGACUCGGUGAAAUCUUAGUACCUGUGAAAAUGCAGGUUACCCGCAACUAGACGGAAAGACCCCAUGGAGCUUUACUGCAGCCUGAUAUUGAAUUCUGGUCAUACAUGUACAGGAUAGGUGGGAGACAAAGAGACGUGCACGCCAGUGUACGAGGAGUCGACGUUGGGAUACCACUCUUGUGUGACCGGGGUUCUAACCUGGUAUCGAGAACAGGUACGGGGAGAGUGUCAGGUGGGCAGUUUGACUGGGGCGGUCGCCUCCCAAAGAGUAACGGAGGCGCCCAAAGGUACGCUCAGAUUGGAUGGAAACCAAUCGUCGAGUGCAAUUGCAGAAGCGUGCUUGACUGUGAGACAGACAAGUCGAACAGGGACGAAAGUCGGGAAUAGUGAUCCGGCGGUGCCGAAUGGAAGGGCCGUCGCUCAACGGAUAAAAGCUACCCU
rnacentral:rRNA from 1 species